GAUGAACGCUGGCGGCGUGCCUAAUACAUGCAAGUCGAGCGAACAGACGAGGAGCUUGCUCCUCUGACGUUAGCGGCGGACGGGUGAGUAACACGUGGAUAACCUACCUAUAAGACUGGGAUAACUUCGGGAAACCGGAGCUAAUACCGGAUAAUAUAUUGAACCGCAUGGUUCAAUAGUGAAAGACGGUUUUGCUGUCACUUAUAGAUGGAUCCGCGCCGCAUUAGCUAGUUGGUAAGGUAACGGCUUACCAAGGCAACGAUGCGUAGCCGACCUGAGAGGGUGAUCGGCCACACUGGAACUGAGACACGGUCCAGACUCCUACGGGAGGCAGCAGUAGGGAAUCUUCCGCAAUGGGCGAAAGCUUGACGGAGCAACGCCGCGUGAGUGAUGAAGGUCUUCGGAUCGUAAAACUCUGUUAUUAGGGAAGAACAAAUGUGUAAGUAACUAUGCACGUCUUGACGGUACCCUAUCAGAAAGCCACGGCUAACUACGUG
rnacentral:rRNA from 1 species